rnacentral:rRNA from 1 species
AGUGAACGCUGGCGGUAGGCCUAACACAUGCAAGUCGAACGGCCGCACAGUAAGAGCUUGCUCUUACGGGUGGCGAGUGGCGGACGGGUGAGGAAUACAUCGGCAUCUACUUUUUCGUGGGGGAUAACGUAGGGAAACUUACGCUAAUACCGCAUACGACCUACGGCUGAAAGCAGUGGAUCUUCGGACCUUGCGCGAUUGAAUGAGCCGAUGUCGGAUUAGCUAGUUGGCUGGGUAAAGGCCCACCAAGGCGACGAUCCGUAGCUGGUCUGAGAGGAUGAUCAGCCACACUGGAACUGAGACACGGUCCAGACUCCUACGGGAGGCAGCAGUGGGGAAUAUUGGACAAUGGGCGCAAGCCUGAUCCAGCAAUACCGCGUGAGUGAAGAAGGCCUUCGGGUUGUAAAGCCCUUUUGUUGGGAAAGAAAAGCAGCAGGUUAAUACCCCGCUGUUCUGACGGUACCCAAAGAAUAAGCACCGGCUAACUUCGUG